ensembl:snoRNA
UGGCACUGUCUUUGAACCUUUGCUGUCCUCCUCAUGGCAUCACAGGCCAAGCUACAGUGCAAAAUCAAAGGUUUGUUAUAACUGGGGCUAUUUGGUUUUUCACCCCUGAGUUGCUCUUUUAAAAGCAAACUACAAUU